rnacentral:tRNA from 1 species
AGUUGAAAAGCGAAUGUCGCACCUAGUUUCGACCUAGGUCCCGGUAAAAAUACCUUCAAUUA